GUUAUCUGAUUGGCACACCGUAACUGCUCUAUUUCGUGCAUUUACACUUAAGCCUCUAAUAAUAGUUCUUUGAAAAGCACUGUCUUGUAUUUAACUGAUGAUUGGCUCCAGCAAUUAAAUCCUACCACACUUUAGAAUGCUGGACUAUUCUGCUGCUUCCCAGAGUUGGAAAGAAAGGAGUUGACUCACAUCUUACCCAUCUCACUCCAGGUCAGCAAUGGCACUGGAGGCAGUGCUGGGGAUACUGAGGAUAUUGCUGUUUUGAGUGGCAUGUGUUUGCUCUGGAGAAAACAUUCCAGAUGGUAUUUCUGGAAGAACUAGGGAUACAACAGAGAACACAACAGAUAAAGUCACCACUCUCAUGUGGCAUAUAUUCCAGCGGGGAGGAGCAGACCGACAGCAGAAUGGGUCAACGUAAGGAACGGCAGAUAACGGCUUCCCAGGAGCAGUCAUUUCUAACCUCUACUACGCAUCAGAGUCAUCCAGAGAGCUUGUUAAAACACAGAUUUCUGCGUCCCACCCUCAGAGUUUGCUGACUGAGAAGGUCUGGGUUGGACCAAAGAAUCUGCAUUUUUUAAAAGUUCCAUGGUCUAGGACCACACUUUGAGAACUGCUGUUCCAAAGAACCACCUGCUUUAUACUCUGGUUUCUCUUCGGAUCAUAUAAAUCUGCCUUUUAAAAAAGCACCUGUUGGAUCUAUGAAACUGAUGCAGCCGGUAGUUUCUCAUUAUGGUCUCAUUACCCUUUACAUUGAAAAAUACAAAGCCACUUCAAUUGCCAUUUCACAGUACAGCCCAUGGCCUGGAACGGGCACAGCUGCCCUCUUUAGGUUGAAAAUAUUUGGCAAAUAAGGAAUGCUGGCAAGAGAGGCUGCAGUUUUGACACCUACACCUUGAUUUGGGAUUCAUUUUUCUCACUCAGGAUUUGGCAAGCGUAUGUCUUCUUUAAAGUGAGACUGAAAAUAAGCUCUGACUCACAAACCUAGCUUAAAACACCACAAAGAGUAAACAACUAUUUCCAUAACUAAUAAUUAUUAAAAUAUGUUUUUGAGUUUUUGCAUAACUUGCCUGUAUAAUGAGAUCUAAGUAUUUACAUGGAAUUUCUACAUUACUGUGUGAAUAAAUUAACAGAACUAAAACCUGCCUCCUGACCUCUAGCCUCUCCCUGAUGUCAGCCUGUGCUCAACCCUG
rnacentral:lncRNA from 1 species